AUGUGGUUUGCCCUCGAGCACAAGGAGCAACGCCGCCUUAGCGUCCAGCAGCAGUACCACAACCACCCUCCGCCGCCCCCUGUGGUCCAGCUGGAGGAGGAGGCUGCGUACCAGGCCGCGCUAGCGGCGGCCAUGCAGACCUCCAUCAAGGACGAGCGGUGCAAGGCGGAGGAGGACAAGGAGGCGGCCUACGAGGCUAGGUUGGCGGAGGCCCUCACCCUCUCUGCAGCCGGCGACUGCGUGGUUCCGCCGUCGCCGCCGAGGAGGCUCCCGGCGCCCAAGGCCGAGGCGGAGCCCGCGGAGCGCUACGAGCAAGCCUACCUCCAGCAUUGGAAGGCCCAAGCGCUGGUGAGGGAGCGGGAAGAGGGCGAGCGGCUGACGCAGCUAGAGCACGAAGAGGAGGAGCGACGUGCUCGCGACCAAGCAGUCCAGCCGGCGUAUUAUGAAGGGACUCGAGACAUUCAAGCUUGGAUAUAUUUGGAGGAUUGGGCUGGAGAGGAUGUGAACCCUUGGAUCCCUUCAAGCCUUGACAGAAUGAUUAUUACUCCUAGAGGUCAAACUGUUUUAUCCUUGGAAGCUCUACACAGCCGGCUGUUUGGAGUGCUCUACGGAAAGUUCAAGUCCCACGAGAAGCGAAAGAUCUCUCUCCUUCACGUGGCUACUCCCACCCCACCCAUAAGGCUCUGUCCUCUCCUCCACCCUCCCACCCACCCAGAGUCAUUCGCCUUCCCCUCCUCUGCGCAGGCAAACAAGAUGAGUCAUGGAGGUGCCGCCGACGUGAAUCUCGGUGACGACAGUCUGCAGGACAACGAAGAAGUGGAGGCCGGAGCUAUGAUCAUGGUGGCCACCGCCGCCGCCCCGAGAGGGGAGAUCGUUGUCCAGUUCGACAAGUCCCUGCUAGACUGCACCAUCUGCACCACGCCCCUCAAGCCUCCCGUCUUCCUGUGCCAGGAGAAGUACGUGGCGUGCGCCCCCCUGCACCGCGAAUGGGAGAAGCACAGGGGGCGCACGCCGCAUGCUUCUCCUGGUACUGCACAGGAAACAUGGGCACACGCCGUCACCGAGAUUCACGUCGGCGGCGCCUCCAUGACUCAUCUUGUUUGCCGGCGCAGAGGAGGGGAAGGCGAAUGA
rnacentral:rRNA from 1 species